GGAGGGCUGGCCGAGUGGUCGAAGGCGGCUGACUUGAAAUCAGUUAGAGUUCAUGCUCUCAGGGGUUCGAAUCCUCUGCCCUCCGCCA
rnacentral:tRNA from 1 species